rnacentral:misc_RNA from 1 species
UACGGAGGGUGCGAGCGUUGUCCGGAUUUAUUGGGUUUAAAGGGUGCGUAGGCGGCCCGUUAAGUCGGCGGUGAAAGUCUGUGGCUCAACCAUGGAACUGCCGUUGAUACUGGCGGGCUUGAGUGCCGGUGGGGUACAUGGAAUUGGUGGUGUAGCGGUGAAAUGCAUAGAUACCAUCAGGAACACCGAUAGCGUAGGCAUUGUACUUACCGGCAACUGACGCUGAGGCACGAAAGCGCGGGUAGCGAACAGG